rnacentral:rRNA from 1 species
UUAGGAGUCUUCCCCAAUGGGCGCAAGCCUGAGGGAGCGACACUGCGUGAAGGACGAAGGUUUUCGGAUCGUAAACUUCUGAACGAGGGACGAAAAAUGACGGUACCUCGCUAAAAGCACCGGCUAACUCCGUGCCAGCAGCCGCGGUAAUACGGAGGGUGCAAGCGUUAUCCGGAAUCACUGGGCGUAAAGGGCACGUAGGCGGUCUAGUAAGUCCGAUGUUAAAGCGUGGGGCUCAACCCCAUCACGGCGUUGGAUACUGCUAGGCUUGACGACUGGAGAGGUGAGUAGAAUUCCCGGUGUAGCGGUGAAAUGCGCAGAUAUCGGGAGGAACACCAGUAGCGAAGGCGGCUCGCUGGGCCAUUCCUGACGCUGAGACGCGAAAGCGUGGGGAGCAAACAGGAUUAGAUACCCCGGUAGUCC